rnacentral:rRNA from 1 species
ACGGGGGUGCAGCCGGCGCGAAACUUCCGCAAUGCGCGAAAGCGUGACGGGGGUAAUCCGAGUGGCAACCGAAAGGUUGUCUUUUAGCGGAGUCUGAAUCACUCGCAGAAUAAGUGCUGGGUAAGUCACGUGCCAGCCGCCGCGGUAAUACGUGCAGCACGAGUGGUGUCCACGAAUAUUGAGCCUAAAACGCAUGUAGUCGGUCUAGAAAAUCUUCCGUCAAAUCUCAGAGCUUAACUUUGAGGCGUGCGGGGGACACUUCUAUGACUUGGGAAUGGGGGAGUUCGAGAGUACAUUAAGGGGAGGGGUAAAAUCCUGUAAUCCUUGAUGGACUAACAGUGGCGAAGGCGCUCGAAUAAAACAUGUCCGACGGUGAGAUGCGAAGGCUAGGGGAGCAAAUGGGAUUAGAUACCCCAGUAGUCCUAGCAGUAAAUUAUGCGUUCUUGGCGUUGCACAUUCUUCGUGAUAGUGCAGUGCCUAAAGGAAGCCAUUAAGAACGCUGCUUGGGGAGUACGAUCGCAAGGUUGAAACUUAAAGGAAUUGGCGGGGGAGCAC